rnacentral:tRNA from 1 species
GGCCCUCUGGCGCAAUUGGUAGCGCGUUCGACUCCAGAUCGAAAGGUUAUCUGUUCAAAUCAGGUGGGGGUCA